rnacentral:tmRNA from 1 species
GGGGGCGCAAUGGUUUCGACGGGGAUGGGGAAGCCGGAGUUGCAGGUCGAGGCGCCGCUGGCCUCGUAAAAAGCGGCAACAAAAGUAAUUGCCAACAACGAUUACGACUACGCCUACGCUGCGUAAGCAGUUCGGGCACCUGGCCUCCUAGGAGGUCACGCCGAACCGGGGGACGCCUGAUAACCCGGCAAGGUGUCAAACCCAUCAGGCUGGCAUGCGUCGGCGCCCGCCGGUACGCAUGCGAGGAGUUUCGGCGGGCUGACCGAGGGCCGCCCGUCCGGGGGCGUGGUCCGAGGUGAGAAUGUUCCCGGACUAAACCUGUAGACGCUUUGCGCGGAUCGUUCUCGGACGGGGGUUCGACUCCCCCCGCCUCCACCA